rnacentral:rRNA from 1 species
GUGGGGAAUCUUCCGCAAUGGACGAAAGUCUGACGGAGCAACGCCGCGUGAGUGAAGAAGGUUUUCGGAUCGUAAAGCUCUUUCGUUAGGGACGAACGUGCUCUUUGUGAAUAAUGAGGAGUAAUGACGGUACCUAAAUAAGAAGCCACGGCUAACUACGUGCCAGCAGCCGCGGUAAUACGUAGGUGGCAAGCGUUGUCCGGAAUUAUUGGGCGUAAAGCGCGCGCAGGCGGGAUAUCAAGUCUGUCUUAAAAGUGCGAGGCUCAACCUCGUGAGGGGACAGAAACUGGUAUUCUUGAGUGUCGGAGAGGAAAGUGGAAUUCCAAGUGUAGCGGUGAAAUGCGUAGAGAUUUGGAAGAACACCAGUGGCGAAGGCGACUUUCUGGACGAUGUCUGACGCUGAGGCGCGAAAGCUAGGGGAGCGAACGGGAUUAGAAACCCCUGUGUCC